AUUGAACGCUGGCGGCAGGCCUAACACAUGCCAGUCGAGCGGAUGAAGGGAGCUUGCUCCUGGAUUCAGCGGCGGACGGGUGAGUAAUGCCUAGGAAUCUGCCUGGUAGUGGGGGAUAACGUCCGGAAACGGGCGCUAAUACCGCAUACGUCCUGAGGGAGAAAGUGGGGGAUCUUCGGACCUCACGCUAUCAGAUGAGCCUAGGUCGGAUUAGCUAGUUGGUGGGGUAAAGGCCUACCAAGGCGACGAUCCGUAACUGGUCUGAGAGGAUGAUCAGUCACACUGGAACUGAGACACGGUCCAGACUCCUACGGGAGGCAGCAGUGGGGAAUAUUGGACGAUGGGCGAAAGCCUGAUCCAGCCAUGCCGCGUGUGUGAAGAAGGUCUUCGGAUUGUAAAGCACUUUAAGUUGGGAGGAAGGGCAGUAAGUUAAUACCUUGCUGUUUUGACGGUACCAACAGAAUAAGCACCGGCUAACUUCGUG
rnacentral:rRNA from 1 species